UCGACGGUAACAUUUCUAGCUUGCUAGAAGAUGACGAGUGGCGGACGGGUGAGUAAUGCUUGGGAACUUGCCUUUGCGAGGGGGAUAACAGUUGGAAACGACUGCUAAUACCGCAUAAUGUCUUCGGACCAAACGGGGCUUCGGCUCCGGCGCAAAGAGAGGCCCAAGUGAGAUUAGCUAGUUGGUAAGGUAACGGCUUACCAAGGCGACGAUCUCUAGCUGUUCUGAGAGGAAGAUCAGCCACACUGGGACUGAGACACGGCCCAGACUCCUACGGGAGGCAGCAGUGGGGAAUAUUGCACAAUGGGGGAAACCCUGAUGCAGCCAUGCCGCGUGUGUGAAGAAGGCCUUCGGGUUGUAAAGCACUUUCAGUUGUGAGGAAAAGUUAGUAGUUAAUACCUGCUAGCCGUGACGUUAACAACAGAAGAAGCACCGGCUAACUCCGUGCCAGCAGCCGCGGUAAUACGGAGGGUGCGAGCGUUAAUCGGAAUUACUGGGCGUAAAGCGCACGCAGGCGGUUUGUUAAGCUAGAUGUGAAAGCCCCGGGCUCAACCUGGGAUGGUCAUUUAGAACUGGCAGACUAGAGUCUUGGAGAGGGGAGUGGAAUUCCAGGUGUAGCGGUGAAAUGCGUAGAUAUCUGGAGGAACAUCAGUGGCGAAGGCGACUCCCUGGCCAAAGACUGACGCUCAUGUGCGAAAGUGUGGGUAGCGAACAGGAUUAGAUACCCUGGUAGUCCACACCGUAAACGCUGUCUACUAGCUGUGUGUGUCUUUAAGACGUGCGUAGCGAAGCUAACGCGCUAAGUAGACCGCCUGGGGAGUACGGCCGCAGGUUAAAAACUCAAAUGAAUUG
rnacentral:rRNA from 1 species